UUACUACUCCCUCCGUUCCGAAUUACUUGUCAUAGAUAUGGAUGUAUCUAGAUGUAUUUUAGUUCUAGAUACAUCCAUUUCUGCGACAAGUAAUUUGGAAUGGAGGGAGUACCUA
rnacentral:pre_miRNA from 1 species